CUGUAUAACGGGACAACGGUCGUGAUAGCGACUACAAAAGAGAGUGUCACAACACGCUUAGUCUUUCAUUUCUCUUACAGCAGCCAAAGAGGGAAUGGCAAGCUCAGUUUAGUCGUUAUCUCCGAACAAUUUUUGGAACCACUGUCUUCGAUGACGUUUCGGGCGGUUAGGGACAACAAAAAGCAAAUAGAAUACAGAUAGCAACAAACGAGUGGCCCUAUUGUCCCAGGUUAGCUACUGUAAAAUCUCCUUCCACUGACGUUAUUUUCCGAUAACCUUGUUGUUUUGCGCGGCCACCUAUCAUGUAUUUUCAUAAAAUUAGAUGUUCGCGCCUGUGGUGACUUUAGUUCAAAGCAGUUCUAAUCGAUUUUGUACUAAGUGUCUCCCAUACUCAAAAUGGUACAUAGUCCCACCGUCGUAAAAGUUUAGCUCGCAUCGUACACUGUGAAGACGGUCAAAUAUGUCAGGAUUCAUGCUAACAUUAACUUUAAAUUGCUCGACGUCAAUAUAAUACAUAUAGUCGGAGAUGAUCAAAAAUAAUCCAUCGACACAUCAGUUUUUAUAAAAAGAUAUUAAUCAACACCGCUGGUUCUAUUUACGGCGACGAGAAUAACCUCCCCACAUCAUUCCUAUUAUGAUAAUGCAAGCAAUUGCAUCGUCGCUUUUGUCGCUCAAAGGUUUGUUAUAAACCUAAUUAGGAGUGCUAAUUAAUUAUAAAUAUUAUAUUAUUAACUAAAGUGUGAGCUUACCAGGAGUAACUAAAAUCGUCUUCCGGCUGCAAAAAAUACACCAUAUUUUUUUUUUUAGUUUUUUACUUCAAGAAAAUUAUAUUUUAAGGCAAUGUUCACUCUAUUAAUUUUUGACGCGUUGUUUGCUAAUAUGGUUUCUUGGUUGGAGGGUAAUUCCGUGGAUCAAGUGCUAUUCACAUGUUUAUAUUUACACGCUCCAGCUAAAAUUGAAGACAAAGCAUUGCGGUCCUUUGGCCACGCGAUACGCCAUUUAAUAAUACACAUUAAAAAUGUCAUUAUCUCAAAUAGCGUUUACAAAGAAGAGGACUUUGAAUUAUAUGGUAAUUCAUUGCUGUUGGCCAACGAAGAAUCGCCGUCAGGGUCGUCAAUUGGUGGACUGUUAAAAGAAAGUGAGGACAUAGCAAAUCAUCGAAUCAGCCGAAGAUAUAAUGGCCGUUGUACAUCGUUUACGUUUUAUGCAUCAUUUCUAUCAAUCGUUGUAUUUAUUUGACUAUGCCAUGACUAAUUCUGUCGGUGAAGGCAAUAUCAAUGGGAUUUAUAAACAUUUGAAUGCUUCCUUAGAGCUAAUACCGCAGAUCAAAAAAACCAUGGAAAAAGGUACACAACCUAUACCGGCCUCCAACCGUGUGUCCUAAUCCAACGGGCAUUCAUGAUCGCAGCCAGCCACCUACGUUUCCUCGUAGUGUUAAAAUACGUGAUCGCCUUUCUAGCUUAAUGUUCCUAGAAGAAUUAGUGCAGCGUUUGGAAUAUUCAUGUAAAAUUAUACGUAUGCGUGAGUACUGCACUGCUUUGGUAAGCUCUUAAUAAUUCAGAAGCCAAGUGUUGUUUCUGUCGUAAAUUUUUUUACGUUUUUUCAGAACUUUUUUAUAGAAUUCAGUCGUAAGUCGGGCCACUGCAUAUUGUCUCGUAGCAUGCUACAGGUUUUAUUCAUUUCGAAUAGACGUUUAAUUUUUGGAUCGAUGCAAAUUAAAGUUUUUCUUUGGAAUUCGGUGCGCGUUUUCAACAAUCCAUCUGUAAUGAAUCCAAAAAUGUUCUAGUUGCUGACCGUGAUAUUCAAGUGAUGCUGGAUAAUUUUUAUAAAAACUGCUCGAGUACUUUUACUCAAUUUAUACGAGUUGUCCAGGACACUCUGUUGCAGCUCGAAAUGGAAAUUCUCAGCAGGCAUGGCGUCUUCUGAUUACCACUUGUUCAGAUCGGUGCAGAUGCCUUGGCUGGCAAAGUUGAAGAUGUGCAAAAAUGCGUUGGUGCGUUCUGCAGUAGAUCGGAACAAACGACAAAUGAUGCUGAAAACUAUUAACUUAACAUUUUGUCGACACAUAUUGAUUGUUGCAGAAGCGAAAUGAUAAACGGCAUAUAUAAAUGAAAAUGAGUAAAUUGCAAUAUGUCUUCUUUUCCUUUCGGUACAGCAUAUAUCUAUACUUAUACCAGAACACUCGGGCUAUAUGACAAAUUUCAGUUAAAGGUUUUUUGGUCUUUAUAUCUAAUUAUCUUGUGAAAAUUAGAGAUUUAUACAUAUGUAUGUAAGUUGAAAAACGGUGAAUGGAGCUUCGCUCUACUUUAUGAUCAAGUAAAUAUAUUUUACAGGUCAUCAUCAUCAGAUGUGUCGAAACUAUUUUUAAAAUCAUUGGACGUUAUGCUUUUUCCUACUUUCCUCAAUGUGGGCUGAUAAUCAAUUAGCUGAACAAUAUCUGCUUGCUUUCUAAUUCUGUCAAGGCAGAGAAAACAUGAAUGUUGUUCAAAAAUCUAUAAUUAUGUUACAAUAUACUUACUGUGCGUGUGUGUGCACAUUUACGAUGUCGCUUUUGCUCUUUUUCCAUCGAUUUUUUUAUCUGUUUGGUGAUGCCUUCAGAUAAUACAGCAUUGCUUCUAAAAAAGCUCAAUACAAUACAAUUUCCAGAUAUUUUCAAAAUACUUCAUAAAA